GGCUCGUUCCGUGCUUGACUUACGAGCUCGUGUAGUAAGGCCUCACCCUACUUCAAUAAGGGCUUAUGCACUCCACUCGUAAACGAGCGUUAGAGCUUUUUGAGCGAGCGAGCGAAGCCUUCCUGGAGCUUCCCCCUUCCCUCACCCGAGAAUUGCGAUCUCCUUCCUUUUAUUCGGUGCUUUCCUUUUAUAAGUCACUGCUAUUCUUCCUUGACCCUUCUUACCUUUGCUAGAUUUUGCAUUCCCCUCAUUACUAUUCGGCUCAGUAUUAUC
rnacentral:lncRNA from 1 species